GAUGAACGCUGGCGGCGUGCCUAAUACGUGCAAGUCGAGCGAACGGACGAGAAGCUUGCUUCUCUGAUGUUAGCGGCGGACGGGUGAGUAACACGUGGAUAACCUACCUAUAAGACUGGGAUAACUUCGGGAAACCGGAGCUAAUACCGGAUAAUAUUUUGAACCGCAUGGUUCAAAAGUGAAAGACGGUCUUGCUGUCACUUAUAGAUGGAUCCGCGCUGCAUUAGCUAGUUGGUAAGGUAACGGCUUACCAAGGCAACGAUGCAUAGCCGACCUGAGAGGGUGAUCGGCCACACUGGAACUGAGACGCGGUCCAGACUCCUACGGGAGGCAGCAGUAGGGAAUCUUCCGCAAUGGGCGAAAGCCUGACGGAGCAACGCCGCGUGAGUGAUGAAGGUCUUCGGAUCGUAAAACUCUGUUAUUAGGGAAGAACAUAUGUGUAAGUAACUGUGCACAUCUUGACGGUACCUAAUCAGAAAGCCACGGCUAACUACGUG
rnacentral:rRNA from 1 species